rnacentral:misc_RNA from 1 species
UCUCCGUUGGUGAACCAGCGGAGGGAUCAUUACCAGAGGUUUACAACUCCCAACCCCUCUGUGAACCUACCUAUCGUUGCUUCGGCGGACUCGCCCCAGCGUCCGGACGGCCCCGCGCCGGCCCCCGACCCUUACUCAGUCCGCCGCCCGAGACCACACAAUCCUAUUACCAUCAGUCUUUCUACAACCGCCGCAAGGGUUAACACACCAAUCAAAACUUUCAACAAUCGAUCUCUUGGUCCUCGCAUCUCCGAUGAACGAAGCAGAUCGGAAGAGCAC